UUGCAUGUGGAAAUAUGUCUGUUCCUCAUUCCUUUGGGAGCAGGAGUACCUCCAUAACAUGCUACAUAAAAGGAGUUCUCAGGGCUGCCAACCUUACAGUAGAGGUUGAGUAGUAGUAUAUUUCUCCUACAUAG